UACAGAGGGCUCAAGCGUUGUUCGGAUUCAUUGGGCGUAAAGGGUGUGUAGGUGGCGCGCUAAGUCGGGUGUGAAAUCUCGGGGCUUAACUCCGAAACUGCAUUCGAUACUGCCGUGCUUGAGGACUGGAGAGGAGACUGGAAUUUACGGUGUAGCGGUGAAAUGCGUAGAUAUCGUAAGGAAGACCAGUGGCGAAGGCGGGUCUCUGGACAGUUACUGACGCUGAGGCACGAAGGCCAGGGGAGCAAACGGG
rnacentral:rRNA from 1 species